rnacentral:rRNA from 1 species
UACAUAGGGGGCAAGCGUUAUCCGGAAUUAUUGGGUGUAAAGGGUGCGUAGACGGAGAAACAAGUUGGUUGUGAAAUCCCUCGGCUCAACCGAGGAACUGCAACCAAAACUAUUACCCUUGAGUGUCGGAGAGGAAAGUGGAAUUCCUAGUGUAGCGGUGAAAUGCGUAGAUAUUAGGAGGAACACCAGUGGCGAAGGCGACUUUCUGGACGAUAACUGACGUUGGGGCACGAAAGUGUGGGGAGCAAACAGG